UACGUAGGUGGCAAGCGUUGUCCGGAUUUACUGGGCGUAAAGGGUAUGUAGGCGGAGGUUUAAGUAGGAAGUGAAAGGUUCGAGCUCAACUCGGACACUGCUCCCUAUACUGGGCUUCUUGAGGGCCGGAGAGGAAAGCGGAACGACACGUGUAGCGGUGAAAUGCGUUGAUAUGUGUCGGAACACCAAUGGCGAAGGCAGCUUUCUGGACGGUAGUUUACUUUAAAUCUGACGCUGAAAUACGAAAGCCGAGGUAGCGAACAGG
rnacentral:rRNA from 1 species